GGGGGAGCGCCGGCUCCUGGGCUGUGUCCCUUGGGGCCCUCGGCUCGGGGCCUGCACCACUGGAAUCGCGCUCCUGGGCCGCACAGCCCCCU
rnacentral:pre_miRNA from 1 species